GUGUCAGGCAGGGCUACUAGGUCAGGGUGACUGUGAAGAAAAAUAGGAGUGAGGACUCCUGAGCCUUGACUGUGUAUGUUAUUUGUGUCUAAGUCUAAGCCUGGCUGCUAUGUGGCUAAGUCACAAGGCUAUUUCCAACCUAAGAAAUGCCAUCUGGCCUGAGACUGCUCCUUAGAUAAUUCCAGUGCCUUCUUCCUCCAAAGGGAGGCUGAUUGCAAUGCUACAAGUCCCAGCCUUCGUUAGUCAGCCUCCAUAAAUCAUGGCUGGCACGAAAGACUGGAGGGCCAUGGGUAAUUGAAUUCCAACCAACCUUCACACCUAAUUCAAGUCAACUUUCUGACCCUUCCUGGAUCAAUCUGCUGUCAGAGCUGGACUCAGCAGCCCCAGACCCCAUGACAGGCCUGCCUGGAAACCAAGCCUGAGUUGGGACAGUGCUUAUUCAAGUCACGUUUCAGUAGGACAAUGUCCUGACUUCACUCUGUUUGUAAGCCUCUAUGCUGCUCUCCAGUCUACUGAAUGUACACAUGGUCUGGAUUCCAUUACCAGAACACAACUGUGGCAUUUCACAUUUUCCAAAAAAUAUAGCUCUUCCUUCCUCCUUCAAGAGGCCACAUCACACCCCACGACUAUUUCUUAUUCUCAGACAGUUGCAACCAAGCUCACGGGAUGAUAAGAGGCCCCUGUAAUGUAGCCAGUGGCCUGGGGACCCCAAGCAGCCCGGAAAACUGUGUUUAGGUGGGAAUGUUAAUGGAAUUAUCCCUUGCUGCUGGGUAAGAGUCUGCUGUUGAGAGAUAAUUACCCAGGCAAAGAUGAAGCAUCACGGGAGCCUAAUGCUGAGGCAGAGAGCUCACUGUUUAUUUUCCAUGUUGCCACAUAAUCGCCUUCACUAUUUAACUUCAUUAACAUCUCCACUAACCCGGGGCCACACAAUUUUACUUAAAAGAAAGAAAUUAAGUAACCCUGAACCUACAUGUAAUUGUAAACAAAGUUACCGGAGAUGUGGGCUAUGAUGUUUUCACUGUUAUAGUGGGUGGCAGACAAGUCCCCUUUUGCCCCUAUCCUUCCUUCUCUCUGAGAGAUGAAAGUGAUAGCAACUUUUGCUGACUGUUUACUGUAGGCCCUCCCUUGCAUUGAACACCACACAUAUGCUGACCUCCUUA